rnacentral:tRNA from 1 species
GAGUCAGUAAUUAAAUUAUAAUAUUAGAUUGCAAAUCUGAAAUUGGGACACUUACCCCUGACUAA